AUUGAACGCUGGCGGCAGGCCUAACACAUGCAAGUCGAGCGGAUGAAGGGAGCUUGCUCCUGGAUUCAGCGGCGGACGGGUGAGUAAUGCCUAGGAAUCUGCCUGGUAGUGGGGGAUAACGUCCGGAAACGGGCGCUAAUACCGCAUACGUCCUGAGGGAGAAAGUGGGGGAUCUUCGGACCUCACGCUAUCAGAUGAGCCUAGGUCGGAUUAGCUAGUUGGUGGGGUAAAGGCCUACCAAGGCGACGAUCCGUAACUGGUCUGAGAGGAUGAUCAGUCACACUGGAACUGAGACACGGUCCAGACCCCUACGGGAGGCAGCAGUGGGGAAUAUUGGACAAUGGGCGAAAGCCUGAUCCAGCCAUGCCGCGUGUGUGAAGAAGGUCUUCGGAUUAUAAAGCACUUUAAGUUGGGAGGAAGGGCAGUAAGUUAAUACCUUGCUGUUUUGACGUUACCAACAGAAUAAGCACCGGCUAACUUCGUG
rnacentral:rRNA from 1 species